AGAAUAAUUACUUUAAAAGUCAUGAAGGUUUAUUUAAAGUGAUGUUUUAGAAGCUUAUGUUUUAUUUGAAAAAGCUGCUUUUCUUCUGAUAAAAAUUAUAUGCACUUAGUGAGGUUUGUCAUAGUCUAGGCAUAUAUUUGUCCAUUGCUAUGCAUUAUUUAUAGGGAAUUAGUUACACAGAAACUAUAAAUGCUCACUAUAUUCUCAAACAAAUCUCCAUGACAAUCUCCAGCUGCAGCUUAAUAUUUUGCAUCUCGACCUAAUGCGAUGAAAUAGUCAAUAGCUACAGUAAAUCAUCAUGAACCGUAUCAGCUAGCUAUUAGCUAUGUUUAUUAUUAUUACAAUGUAUAACGUUAGCUAUCAUAUCAAGUAAUCCUUUCCCAUAGCUGAGCAUAACAAAAAGCCAACAAAUAAGAUAAAUAAAAAAUUGGGAAUUUAAAACCUGCAAAUAAGGAUCAUAAAGAAAAAAGUGAGGAAAUAAUGAUGGAGAUACUGUAGAUAUUAUUUACUCAAACCAAAAACCCCUAUUUGGCUCCACAUUGUUACCUAAAAUUACAUUUAGUGGAGUCAAAAUAGAGAUUUGUAGUUUGAGUAAAUAAUAUGUAUAUACAGGAUCUCCAUCCUUGUUUCCUCCAUUUUUUUAUUAUCCCUAUUUACCAGUUUUUGAAUUCACGAUUUUUUAUUUAUCUUGUUUCUAUAGUAACAUUAAUAGUGAUUUAUUUUCGAUGCUACAGUGAAAUUUUACCUAAAAACAAUAUAAACGAGAGAGAUUAUAAUGAUUCAUAAUAAAGAGCUCUCUUAAGUCUUUGUGUACCAUCCUUUUUCAGUUUUUAUUUUGCAUUUAUGUGCAUGCAACAUGUACUAAAUAGUUACAUUUUAUGCAUACAUUGUUUUACUAAUUUAAAAACUAGUAUAGCUGAAGAUUAUAUUUGUGUAUAUUUUUUUCUUGUCACUUUGUUUAUGUGACUGGUAUACAAAACUAAUUGUUAUUUUUGAGAUGAAAUAAUAUGCCAUUUUGAGAAUAAUUCAGAUUCUACUGUUGGUUAAAUUAAAAAAAAAGAUAAAAGUGUGUCAUUUGUGUGUUGUGUUUACUUAAAAUGAGGGAACAUUGCUGUCAUUAUAAUAUUAUAGCUUUCAUGUUGUGUUUGGUAAGCUAACACUGGUAAUUGUUAAGUCAACAAUUUUGAUUUAUGUAGUUUUAUUACAACCAACAUUAAUUCAAUCACUUUUAUGUAUAUGUAAGUUUAAGAUAUAGAGUGUGUGCUUUUAAAACGUUAUAAACCUAUAUGAUAAUUUCAAAGGUCUUGUUUUUCUCUUCUUGGUUAAUGAAAUAUUUUUAUCAAGAUUCAUUAAUUCAAAUGAAAUGAAAAAGCAGUGCAUUAGUUUACUUGUAUGUUAGUUGUUUGAAAGAAGAUAGUUAUAGCUCUAAUCAAAUUAAUUCUUUUACAAAAAUGUUCAUACAUCUACAGUUCGAACCUUACUUUUCGAUAGAAUUGUAACAUAGAAUUAUAGGCUUGCAUUUCUCUAAGAUUUAUUGUAAUUCAGGUGUUGCUACAAAUUAGCAUUUAAGACUGAAUUAUAGAAUGUAAUCUUUUUACUCGUGUUACUAAUUUUUCUUCUGUAUGUUUAAAUGAAAACUAAAAUAAUAUAAUUCUUUAAAUGUGUACUGUUAUGAAACCAAAGUUUGUUAAAUAUUCCAUGUAGAUUUGUUUGAUGCAUUGUCUAUUACUGAAAUUUUUAAAGAAAUAUAUUUAUUUAAUACAUUGAUAUCUAUAGUUUAAAAAGUAGAUAUUCUGACAGUCUUAGACAAUUAAAGUUUUAGAAUACCAAGAAAUUUGGUUGAUAUACUGUAACUUCGAAGAAUAGACAAUUUUUAACCACUAUUGCUCAUAAUUAAAUGGUUAUUACUUUUCUUUAGUACAAAUGAGCAGACUGUUGAAAGUUGAAUAGUUUUCAGAAAGCUUUCUAACAAGCAACUGAUGGAAACCAAAAGUGUGAACUUUUAUAUCAAGUAUGGUUUUUCAAUCAAAUUAUUACUCCUUUCAUCCAUUAGUUGAAGUGCAGGAGGAAGCUUUUAGUUGUACAAGAAGAUGCAUGAAAUAGAUGUAUGCCAGAUCUUUCUGUUACAACUAAACUUGGUUUCAAACUGAAAAAAUAAAAACUGUUUUAACAAAGAGAACAACGGGUGAGCUUCAUAAGCAUCAGUACCAUCACCUUCAAGAUCCAAAACAACAGUAGGGAUUUGGUUUCAAAGAAGAAGCAUUCGUUUUUUUUUAUGAUAGUUUUCUUUUGUUCUAUUUACCUGAAAACCUUCUUUCAGUGGCCCUCACGUAAACAUCUACUACAUUGAAUUACCACUUGAAACACAUUUUUACUAUGCAAUUACAAUUAAUAGAAGGGAUAGUUUUAUUUUAUGUUUCCAUAUUAUUAUACAUCUGUUUUGUAUGUAUUAAAACAGGAAAUACUACAAAAAAACAAUGACUCUACCAGAAAAUGGAAAAUACUGACAAAAAUUGUUGAAUAACUUCUCAGUGGAAAAAAAAAAAUUACCAAUAUCAC